rnacentral:lncRNA from 1 species
AAAAAAUCAAAGGAUGAUACGAAUUCCAAAAAAUUAAAUUAACUUCUUACAAUACAACUUCUGUUAUGACUUCCAGUCACCCCAUCAAGAUUCCUAGGUUUCUUUUGAGUAGCACUUUUCAUUCUCACUCCAAUCUUCUCCCACAUUUUUGUUUUAAUAAGGUUUUCUAUGUUCAUAUGGGAGUCAUUCUAUUUUUGAAAUUUUUAUUAGAUAUUUCAACACAAUAAUUUUAACAAAAAUACAUCAUCCAUUACAUUAUCAAUUUUUAUCCAUCCAUUAUCCGUCCUUAAUCUUGUAUUUUAUUCAGAUGUUUUAUCCUAUGCUUGUUUCUUUGUCCUUAUCUGCUCCAACAUUUAUCAGUUAAAAAAAAUCCUAACUGCUAUUUUAUUUAUAUUUUUUUUGUUUUUUGUUUUUAUCCUGGUCUGUGACCGUAAUAAAGUUCAUUCAUUCAUACAUACAUCAUCCACAUUGUUCCCCCUCCAUUUUUUCCCCUCCCCCCCAAACAGAAAAGCCAAACCCCACCCCCCCCCCGACUUCCCUCAGCUCCUUUCUCUGGUUUCUCAACACAUCUUCCUGUCUGCCUGUCUUCCUGUAAAAUUGUAAAGAUCCUCAAAUUAUCUAUCAAUGUAUUACAAUAAAGAGUUUGUGAAUGUUUAUUCAAAACCUGCCAAAGAGUCCAAUUCAUUUUGUUGCUUCUUUAAGUAUUUUGUAAAAAGUUCCCAUUCAUUUUUAAAAUCAGUUAUCCUUGUCACGUAGUUUGUGUCAGUUUUGCCAAUUCCGCAUAGUCCAUCAGUUUUUCUUGCCACGGUUCUUUCGUCGGGAUUUCCUCAUUCUUCCAUCCUUGUGCUAUUAAGACUCUUGCCGCCGUUGUCACGUACAUAAACAUAUUUUUAAAUUUCUUUGGCAGGUCUUUUCCCACAAUCCUAUUAUGGGUGUCAUUCUAGGCCAGCCAGAGAAUUCAUAUUUUUACAACACUCUUUAAGAUAUUUUAAAUAUCCCACUCUAGUGAACAAUUGGUCUGUAUUAUCUCUCAUUCUUCCUGUCACCCUUGCUAAUUCUGUGUAUUCUAAUAAUUUUGUCUGCCCCUGUUUUGAAUUUUAUUGUGUCAUAGUCUUCCUUAGUGGGUUGUGGAAACCUCUAUUCUGAAAAAUGCUUUUUGUAGGGUAGUAGGCACUGGAGAUGAGUUUAUGGGAUCAAAGGGACAGUGGCACGAAAAAGUUUGGGAACCACUAGAGUAAAACGUGAGGCAGAAGACCUGGUUCCAGGCACACACUCUUUACAGAGGAUUUUAAACAGCACUAAAUUCCAAAGCUCUGCUCAGGUAGAUUUUUCCCACCUAGAACAGCCAUCAGUGUUCCUAAACAGGAACCUCCACUCAGUCCCUUCUAGAAUUUUACUUUCCCUCAGGGAAUCAAAACUGAGUUGCCCUGCCAGAUAGUCCAAGCCCCAACUGCCCACACUGACAGUUAAUCCUUGUCAACUCCUGAUCUGGCAGUUAAACUGCCAGUUUCAAAUUUAAACUGCCCUCUCUCUCUCCCCAGAUUGGCUGAUAGCCCAAGCAACUCUCAUUGGCUGUCAGGUCACCAGGAGGCAGGCCCAGGGCUUGUCCGUCACAAAAUCCUGUUGGGAAGAGCUCUCCUUCCUUUUUCUCUUUUUUCUCUAAAGCUUUUUGUUUAUAGUAAAAACUCAGAGAGAAACAUGAACCACUAGGGGAGAUACAUGAAGGAGAGGAUACACACACUCUGAGGAGAUGGGGCUGCACUUUCCCAGGGUUUGGUUUCCUUGUAAUGAAGGUCAUCGGAGACUGUGGUGCCUUUAGGGUAUGCAGUUUUAUUUCCGCAUAUGUACAGCCUGAGGAUAGGCUGGAGGGGCUCAAGGCAUUAACAGAUCUUGUUUCCCCAAUAGGGUUCCAGGGAUGCUCCAAGUCACAGCUUUGGGUUCAGCAAAGUGAGACAUGUCAACAACACCUCAAUCCUUUCCAUAUGUACCACUGUGAUAGGAAUUUUGAGGUCUUAGAUAUAUGGUAAUGUUCAUAAGUUACCAACCAAGCACAUACAUAGAUCAGCACAGGAAGACCGAACUGGAACCAUUUUGAUUCCUAAACUGACCAAAUGUUUUCCCUGCAAGGAGGGGGAGGUCAGGGAGCCUUCCCAUUGUCUCAGGAAUUGAGUAAUCAGCAUUUUAAUGGGUGACAGACUAUCAGGAAAGGCAAUCAGAUAACCUGGCAAACAGGAAAAACAACAUUCAAAGUUCUGUUUUAGACCGCCUUUUCUGUGAUGUAGGUAUGAUGUUUCUGGGGGUGGUCUUGAUCUACAGUGUGGCAAUUUCAAAAGUCUUUAUAAGGCCUUGCACGCCAUUUUUCUGGGUUCCUCCUCUCUCCUGUGGGUGAGGGGAGCACCCUGUUGCAACAGAUCAAUAAAGAUCAAGCUUACUAGCUGCUUUGCUUCUCAAUAUUCUCUGGUUGGCCUCUGUUAUCUUCUCCUGCCAACAGGGAACCUAUGUAAGGACUCUAUAUGGGCUCUUGGAUACCCCAUAAGGGAAAAGGGCAAUUUUUGUUUACAACACCACGUUAGGAAGAGUUUGGGCAUCACAUGACAGGACAGAGUUUCAGACAAAGAUGACGACUGGGGCUUCUGGUUAAGAUGGCGACAGGCCAAGCAGCCAGCUCUAGAGCUCCACAGAUUUUAAUUUAUUUUUAACUUGUUUUAAACCAAGUAUUUUAUUUACUAUCAACUGUUCUUUUAACCUGGAAGUUGGAGAGCAGAAGAAUUAGGAGCUGUGAGAUAAGCAAUAAUUAACAAACUUGGAGCUUAUCUGUUCUGUCAGCAUCCCGUUUAUCAAGUGGAAGUGUGGAAGGUGGCUGAAUUCGACACUGUAACUAUUGAGAUUUUAACAUGCUGGCUUGAUCAUGUCCACAGAAUGGAAGAUGGCAGGAUCUCCAAGGACAUGCUCUAUGGGGAACUGGCUUCAGGCACUGAGCCCGGUGGCAGACCAGCUCCUUGUUACAAAGAUGUCUGCACGUGCAACAGGAAGGUUGGCAACAUCAACCUCAACAUAUGGAAAUCCCUUGCAGAUGUCCGCACUGCCUGGAGACAGGCAGUAAAGUUGUGUAUCCAUAGCAGUGACCACUGGUGAGAAGAGACGCUGUGGUGCAUCUGCAGCAGCACAACCGGACGCCUUCGUCUGCCCCAGCUGCAACAAAACAUGUCUCUCCCAUAUUGGUCCCUACAGCUACACCCUGCGCUGUAGUUCCAGGUGCCAGCAACAAUAGCAACCUAGCUCACUCUUCUAGUUUCAGAUGAGAGCGCUUAACAGCCUAGCUAAGACCAUUAUCUUACAAAGAAACUUGCCUCAUCAGGUCAGCAGCCUCUUCUACUAACUCUCCUGGAUACAGGUUCACAGGCCUGGAAGGGACCGCCAGAUAUCAUCCAGACUGACCCCCUUCAAAUCUAUAACAAUAUAAAAUGUUACAGAAAUGAUGGGGGGGGGUGCCACAUCUUUAAAGUAGUUACAAUGUUACAAAUAUUAUGCCUGAAUGUAUCCUUUCAACUUGACAGCUCAGGGAAGAUACCUAGCUUUAUAAAUGCAUAUAAAAUCAGUAGUUUGACUGAUUCUCUUCAUUCCAACGCCAUUUUGGCCUUAGAGAAAAGGACUCCUUCACCUUUCUCUCCUGCCAUAAUCCCUCAAUCCCCCACCCAGGGAAGUGCCCAGGGGAGACAAUUGCUGAGCAAUUAGUUUCCAAAAGCCCAUCACCGUACUUGCCCCCAGGGUAUGGAUGUGGAAAAGGGAGCUCUAGUGUCCUUUGAUGAUGGGUACCAACAUGAGUUUGACCAAACUGCAGGAGGCAGUGGAAGACAGGAGUGCCUGGCAUGCUCUGGUCCAUGGAGUCACUAAGAGUCAGACACAUUUAAACGACUAAACAACAACAACAACUUGAGAGGUGCCUGGACAUGUUCUGCCUAUGCUAAUCUUGUUAAACCAUGUCUACCCCUCCCCUCUGCCAACCUAGCAGUUCAAAAGCACGUCAAAGUGCAAGUAGAUAAAUAGGUACCACUCCAGUGGGAAGGUAAACGGCAUUUCCGUGUGUUGCUCUCGUUCGCCAGAAGCGGCUUAGUCAUGCUGGCCACAUGACCCGGAAGCUGUCUGCAGGCAAACGCCAGCUCCCUCGGCCUAUAGAGCGAGAUGAGCACUGCAACCCCGGAGUCGGUCACGACUAGACCUAAUGGUCAGGGGUCCCUUUACUUUUACCUUUUACCCCUCCCCUUUUAUGACAUGUCAGUGAUGUAAGGAUGAUGUAUCAGUGAUGCUGUACAAACUGUAUUCUGGGACAUGGUGGUGGUAUUCUGGGACAUAGAGAAAUCUGAGGGCUCCCUUAGACCAAAAAUAAGGACACCAGCCAGGAAUCCCAGAGCAAAACAGCAGCCAGUAGGCUUGGUCUUUAUUGAAGACUGUCACGACAGGACUCCCACCUGCCACCAGGUGAAACAAGAUGGAAGCCCUGUACAAAAGAGAACCCAAACUUUUAUUAGCUGCUAAUCCCCAUGUUAAAAGCGACGCGGGUGGCGCUGUGGGUUAAAUCACAGAGCCUAGGACUUGCCAAUCAGAAGGUCGGCGAUUCGAAUCCCCGCGAUGGGGUGAGCUCCCAUUGCUCGGUCCCUGCUCCUGCCAACCUAGCAGUUCGAAAGCACGUCAAAGUGCAAGUAGAUAAAUAAGUACCGCUCCGGCAGGAAGGUAAACGGCGUUUCCAUGUGCUGCUUCUGGUUCGCCAGAAGCGGCUUAAUCAUGCUGGCCACAUGACCCGGAAGCUGUACGCCUGCUCCCUCAGCCAAUAAAGCAAGAUGAGUUCCACAACCCCAGAGUCAGACAGUGGUCAGGGGUCCCUUUACCUUUACCUAAUCCCCAUGUUACACCCCCCCCCCAACUACAUCACUAAUACAUCAUGGUUACAUUGUGAAAGGGGAGGUCUGGUGGCAGUAAUCUGAGCAUCCUGGACCCUGCCCCAUGCCUCCCCUUGCCCUCCACCAAACACCCAUCAAGUGAAACAAAAGAGAUAUUUACAUUUCCCUGUUUCCCAGUCAAGUUUAAUCACACCCUUUUGUCUUCAUCUGGGUUUGUUAUUUCUGGAAUGGCUACCUGUCUGGCACUCAGGUAUCAGGAUGCCAGGGAUUAUCACUUAGGCAGAGGAGCUGCUGAGUAGCUGAGCUCACAUGUCUAUAUGAAUUUCUGAAGUUUUCCCAGUGAGCCAGUACAUAGAUACAUUUAUCAGUGAAUUGUUACAUUUGGUAAUGUGCAGCAGAGGCCCUUUGAAUAGAUAGGAAGAAACUGUGAUGAAGUGUUUUGUGGGGACAAAUCACAAAAGUCACAAAAGUGAUUGUGCUGAUUUCGGUAUUGGGGUGCAUGUGCAUGAUAUUGUUGUAAGAGGGUCAGGGUCAGAGAGGGGAAUAAAGGAAAAUGACCCUACCAAUAUCAAAAGUAUAGAAUUCUGCCUUAAAAACCCUACAGGAAAUAAACUGUGCCUUGGAGAAUGCUUCAUUUGAGAAUGUAUCAUUUUUGCAGUCUCAUGUAUCAUUUUACUCAUUUUGCUGUGUCUUUUUCAUUCACUUUAAGAAUGUGUGUCUUUUCCAUUGACUUAAAAAAAAUGUAUCUAAAUGUAUCCUUACUGAAAUGUAAUUUUCCAUGAAUGUAUCUUUACUGAAAUGUAUUUUUCCUCAAUAUGCUGUACUAUGCUAUACUUUCUGAAUGUAUCCAAAUGUAUUUUUGAAGAAUGUUCCUUAAAUGUAACGAUCACUUGUUUCAAAUGUAUUUGACUCAAAUGUAUUCGAAAGCUGCUAAAAACACUCCCCACACCACACUGCCAUCUACUGGGUCUGCAAAUAAUACCAUGAAUACACACAAAUACCAGCUCAAAAAUAAAGUAGUUUUAUUUUCCAAUAAGUAUGCAAACAUGAGACUAUCACACCCGAAUUGAUAGCAAUGCAGAACAGGAUCUCAUAUUUACAUUGAAGCCAUUUCCUGAACAUCCAGCCUCACGAUCUGCAUACUGAUUAUCAGCAGCUAUGGAGGUUUUUCCUGUAGAUAAAGGAAAAAAGCCAUUAACCAGAUCCAGGAUAAAUGAGAAGAAGCUCAACACAUAUUAUUCCAGCCCUCCAGCAAAAUUGACACCUCCCAAGAUCUUACAACAUCCUCCUUAAAGGUAAAGGUAAAGGGACCCCUGACCAUUAGGUCCAGUCGUGGCCGACUCCAUCUCGCUUUAUUGGCCGAGGGAGCCGGCGUACAGCUUCCGGUCAAAAGGUAUAAGAGUCAAGCCAGCUCUUUUGUUCGGUUGUUCUCACUCCGUUCUUGUUACGUGAGGGAGGACCCUGUUGCAACAGUUUUUGUUUUUCCUGUUCUUUCAAUAAAGAUCAGACUUUGCUUUUCGCCAAUCCUGGUGUGGUCUCUGUCAUUUCCCGAUCUGUACAGAGCCUCUACAACCACGCUCCUUCCGAGGUCCCGGUCCUCUUUACGAGGCAAGGACUCCCUUGGGGAAGCAAUUAUUUAUUUAUUUCAUUUUCUGCUGGAGGGGCAACCCUCCCGCAACCUAUACAUAAAUUCCUGCAACAGUGGGAAGUUUUAAAAGUCAGUGUCGCCCCAUGCUCGCGGUUCUUAUUGCUGUUCUUACUACCUAUUGCGCAACAAAUAAAAGAUCUAAGUCUACUGAUUGCUGUUUUGCUCCAAAUUACUUGGCUGGAACUUCCUUCUUUUACUGACUGCAUUGACCCACGGGGGACUUGGACCCCGGCGAGCUGGGCUGUUGAGUAGUCUCUGACCCCAGAAUUUUUCCUUAUCAAAAACAACAAGUGAAUGGGUGGUAGGUUAAAAAACAAAAAAGGUAGAAGAGUAUAAAUCCCAAGAACCAAAAAGACAUGAAGAGCCCAGGCCCAGAGAGAGAGUCCAAGAGGUCCAGCAUUAUUAAGAUUUUACAAGUAUUUCCAAAAAAUACCAUAAAUCAACCGGAAGAAUGGCUCUCAGGUGUUGCUUAUUUAUGUGUAUAAUAAAAGUCCACCAGGUGGCGGCAAAGUCCAUCUAAGUUCCUUAAGAGGAUGUGUGAGUUUUGGACGCUGCUUUUUUAUUUUUUGGUACCAUUUAUUUAAUGUAAGGACUGUGACGUUUUUCCAUCCCUGAGUAGUGACCAGUCUAGCAGCAUCCAGGAGAAAACCAGUAGGGGUUUACAAAGAGAAGGGGAUCAAUGUAACUCUCUGUGAAAAUGGAGAGGAGGCAGAGUUUAGGGCCUAAGUUCAAAGGACGAUCCAAGAUGAUCCUAAUCUCUGUCAAAACCUGCCAGCAGGAAGCAUUAAUGUGGGUGAAAGAGCACCAUAGGGUGGCAGUAGGUGCCAACAGCCCCACAAGCCUUUUGUUUUUGUGCCAGGUACGUAGGAUUUAUUGAAUGGAUUUAUGUCCCACCUUUCUCCCAAGUUGGGAUUUGAGGUGGCUUCUAAAAUUUAAAAACAUUAGAAAAUGCAAAGUAAUUAAAAACAAAACUGGUUAAAAACAAUAGUUAAAAUACACCAGAAAAUGUUUAGAACCAGCAAUUAAAAAUCCAUUUUGCCCUGUGGCCAGCAUCGCCUGCACUUAAUUUCCAAAGGCCUGUCUGAACAGGAAGAUCUUAGCCUGCCGGCAGAAAGAAAAUAGAGAGGGAGCCAGUCUGACCUCUCUCAGGCAGGAAUUCCACAAUAAGGAAUUUUUAAACCAUCCAGAAUUUGAAAAUAUAGUGGUGGAGGUUGUGAGGGCACUUUAGGAGUGUUCCAUCUCAUGGAAAAGCUUUAAGGUGCCUUGCCUGGAAUGAGUAAGGCCACAGGCUUAGGAAUGACUGAAUGCACCCCCUUCACCUGGGUCCAGACGGUGUGUCACACACUGCUUGGCUAGUCUACUGCCACACCUCAUUCUUUAAAUAGCCUCCUACGGGAGCAGUCUUAAUCUCUCGAGAUUUUUGUACUUAAAUAUGAUAAAGAUCCAGGAAUGUGUUUUCAUUCUUUCUUGCCAUUGGGUGGGGGCUGAAAAACAAGCAAACAGAGAAAACGCAAAGAACUUGGUUAGUCUGCAAAAAAGGGUGGACGCAGGUGGCGCUGUGGGUUAAACCACAGAGCCUAGGACUUGCUGAUCAGAAGGUCGGCGGUUUGAAUCCCUGCAAUGGGGUGAGCUCCUGUUGCUCGGUCCCUGCUCCUGCCAACCUAACAGUUCGAAAGCACGUCAAAGUGCAAGUAGAUAAAUAGGUACCACUCUGGCGGGAAGGUAAACGGUGUUUCCGUGCACUGCUCUGGUUCACCAGAAGCGACUUAGUCAUGCUGCCCACAUGGACAAAUGCUGGCUCCCUCGGCCAAUAAAGCGAGAUGAGCGCCGCAACCCCAGAGUCGUUCACAACUGGACCUAAUGGUCAGGGGUCCCUUUACCUUUACCUAAAGGGCCCCUGACAGUUAAGUCCAGUCACAGAUGACUCUGGGGUUGCGGUGCUCAUCUCGCUUUACAGGCCAAGGGAGCCUGCGUUUGUCCGCAGAUUGUAAAUUAAUGGGUUGCAGUUUUACUCAGAGUAAAAGUUAAAGGAGAUGAUUAAGCCGAGUCUAUUAAUUUCAACAGGGUUUAUUCUGCUCAGAACUUAGCUGAAGACAACCAUUUUAAAAAUCAGUCAGUUUCUGUUUGUCGUGUCCAUUCAUUUCCAUGGAUCUUGAGUAUCAGUAACCCUCGAUUCAGCCCACUGGAUGGUUGUGAAGAUUAUAGUUCAAUAAGGUGCAUAAAGAACUUUGAACACCUGGAAAUGCUAAAUAUUGUUAAAUAAAUUGUUAACUUCUCAAUGACUGCAAAAAACACAUAACCAUUCCAACCUUUGAUUUUAGACCCCGAUACCUUAUAUAUGCUUAUAUGAGCCUCUUUUACAGGCUCAACACCCCCAACUCCUUCUUCUUCUUGCUGCUGCUGUUGCUACUGCUGCAGCAGCAGCACACAACUGACUGAUGUUAAGCUUGUGGUCUGUUAUGACCCCUAGGUCCUUUUCACUGCUGUCAAGCCAUACAGUUAGUUCCCUACCGUUACCUAUGUGGAAUGUGGCCAACUGCCGUCCAAACACAUGUUCUUAAGUGGAAUAACAGUUGGCUCUCCUUACUUCCUAGAAACAUCUCGCAACAACACAGAUGCAUUGGGAGCAGGACUUACUGUUGUUUCCAAAGGAAUUCCUGCUCGGAGAUUCUGCCAGGACGGUUUUGACAUCAACAGGGGUUGUUGGCAGUCAUGUAACCAGAGCAAACAAACAACAAUCUGGAUGGUUUCACACCUGCAAAACCGAAGUGGCAUGGAUUGCUGUUCCACAAGACUUUCUCUUUUGUGGUGUAAUUAUUAUUAUUAUUAUUUUAAACACCUUAAAAAAGUAAAAAAAGGGCAUAUUCAAAUUACCCAUCCAAUG